rnacentral:rRNA from 1 species
UACAGAGGGGGCAAGCGUUAUUCGGAAUUAUUGGGCGUAAAGGGUGCGUAGGCGGGUCUUUAAGUCAGGGGUGAAAUCCUGGAGCUCAACUCCAGAACUGCCUUUGAUACUGAAGAUCUUGAGUUCGGGAGAGGUGAGUGGAACUGCGAGUGUAGGGGUGAAAUUCGUAGAUAUUCGCAAGAACACCAGUGGCGAAGGCGGCUCACUGGCCCGAUACUGACGCUGAGGCACGAAAGCGUGGGGAGCAAACAGG